CCUACGGGCGGCAGCAGUAGGGAAUUUUGCGCAAUGGGGGAAACCCUGACGCAGCAACGCCGCGUGAUCGAUGAAGCCCUUCGGGGUGUAAAGAUCUGUCAGUGGGGACGAAACCUGACGGUACCCACAGAGGAAGCACCGGCUAACUCCGUGCCAGCAGCCGCGGUAAUACGGGGGGUGCAAGCGUUGUCCGGAAUCAUUGGGCGUAAAGAGUUCGUAGGUGGCACGUUAAGUCUGGUGUUAAAGGCGGAAGCUCAACUUCCGUAGGGCACUGGAUACUGGCGAGCUUGAAUGCGGUAGGGGAAAGGGAAAUUCUGGGGGUAGCGGGGAAUGGCGUGGAUAUCAGGAGGAAAAUCGGUGGCUUAAGCGCUUUACUGGGCCGUAAUGGACACUGAGGAACGAAAGCCGGGGUAGCAAAUGGGAUUAGAUACCCCGGUAGUC
rnacentral:rRNA from 1 species